rnacentral:rRNA from 1 species
UACGGAAGGGGCAAGCGUUGUUCGGAAUCAUUGGGCGUAAAGGGCGCGUAGGUGGUUCUGUAUGUCUACCGUGAAAGCGUACGGCUCAACUGUAUUUUGUCGGUGGAAACUGCAGGACUUGAGGCUGGGAGGGGCUGGUGGAAUUCCCUGUGUAGCGGUGAAAUGCGUAGAUAUCAAGUGGAACACCAGUGGCGAAGGCGAAUCCCUGGAAAAUACCUGACACUGAGGCACGAAAGCUAGGGGAGCAAACAGG